rnacentral:rRNA from 1 species
GUGUACCGCAAACCGACACUGGUGCGCGAGAUGAGUAUUCUAAGGCGCUUGAGAGAACUCAGGAGAAGGAACUCGGCAAAUUGACACCGUAACUUCGGAAGAAGGUGUGCCUUUAGUAGGUGAAGUCCCUCGCGGAUGGAGCCCAAUGAGGUUGCAAAAAAUCGGUGGCUGCGACUGUUUAUUAAAAACACAGCACUCUGCAAACACGAAAGUGGACGUAUAGGGUGUGACGCCUGCCCGGUGCUGGAAGAUUAAAUGAUGGGGUGCAAGCUCUUGAUUGAAGUCCCAGUAAACGGCGGCCGUAACAAUAACGGUCCUAAGGUAGCGAAAUUCCUUGUCGGGUAAGUUCCGACCUGCACGAAUGGCGUAACGAUGGCCCCACUGUCUCCUCCUGAGACUCAGCGAAGUUGAAAUGUUUGUGAUGAUGCAAUCUCCCCGCGGAAAGACGGAAAGACCCCAUGAACCUUUACUGUAGCUUUGUAUUGGACUUUGAACAGAUCUGUGUAGGAUAGGUGGGAGGCUUUGAAGCAGGGUCGCUAGAUCUUGUGGAGCCAACGUUGAAAUACCACCCUGGUGUGUUUGAGGUUCUAACCUAGGUCCAUUAUCUGGAUCGGGGACAGUGCAUGGUAGGCAGUUUGACUGGGGCGGUCUCCUCCCAAAGUGUAACGGAGGAGUUCGAAGGUACGCUAGGUACGGUCGGACAUCGUGCUAAUAGUGCAAUGGCAUAAGCGUGCUUAACUGCGAGACUGACAAGUCGAGCAGAUGCGAAAGCAGGACAUAGUGAUCCGGUGGUUCUGUAUGGAAGGGCCAUCGCUCAACGGAUAAAAGGUACUCUGGGGAUAACAGGCUGAUACCGCCCAAGAGUUCAUAUCGACGGCGGUGUUUGGCACCUCGAUGUCGGCUCAUCUCAUCCUGGGGCUGUAGCCGGUCCCAAGGGUAUGGCUGUUCGCCAUUUAAAGAGGUACGUGAGCUGGGUUUAAAACGUCGUGAGACAGUUUGGUCCCUAUCUUCCGUGGGCGCUGCAGAUUUGAGGAAGCCUGCUCCUAGUACGAGAGGACCGGAGUGGACACACCUCUGGUGUAUCGGUUGUCACGCCAGUGGCAUUGCCGAGUAGCUAAGUGUGGAAGAGAUAACCGCUGAAAGCAUCUAAGCGGGAAACUCGUUUCAAGAUGAGAUCUGCCGGGGCCUUGAGCCCCCUGAAGAGUCGUUCAAGACCAGGACGUUGAUAGGUCGGGUGUGGAAGCGCAGUAAUGCGUUAAGCUAACCGAUACUAAUUGCUCGUGCGACUUGACCCU